rnacentral:rRNA from 1 species
GGACCCGCACAAGUAGUGGAGCAUGUGGUUUAAUUCGAAGAUACGCGCAGAACCUUACCAACACUUGACAUGUUCGUCGCGACUUUAAGAGAUUAAAGUUUUCGGUUCGGCCGGACGAAACACAGGUGCUGCAUGGCUGUCGUCAGCUCGUGUCGUGAGAUGUUGGGUUAAGUCCCGCAACGAGCGCAACCCUCACUUUUAGUUGCCAUCAUUUAGUUGGGCACUCUGAAAGAACUGCCAGUGAUAAGCUGGAGGAAGGUGGGGAUGACGUCAAGUCCUCAUGGCCCUUACGUGUUGGGCUACACACGUGCUACAAUGGUAUCUACAACAGGAAGCAAGACUGCGAAGUUAAGCAAAUCCUUAAAAGAUACCUCAGUUCGGAUUGCACUCUGCAACUCGACUGCGUGAAGUCGGAAUCGCUAGUAAUCG